rnacentral:snRNA from 1 species
AUGCUCUGAAUUGACUGCGAUUCUUACAUCUCUUUCGCCUUUGACUAAAGAGAUCAGCGUAAUCAAUUCUACAAGGCGCCUCUACUAUAUACUUGCAGCGCUUUUGCGCGU